rnacentral:rRNA from 1 species
UGGGGAAUAUUGCACAAUGGGCGAAAGCCUGAUGCAGCGACGCCGCGUGAGGGAUGACGGCCUCCGGGUUGUAAACCUCUUUCGACAGGGACGAAGCGUAAGUGACGGUACCUGUAGAGGAAGCACCGGCCAACUACGUGCCAGCAGCCGCGGUAAUACGUAGGGUGCGAGCGCUGUCCGGAAUUACUGGGCGUAAAGAGCUUGUAGGCGGUUUGUCGCGUCGUCUGUGAAAACUCACAGCUCAACUGUGAGCUUGCAGGCGAUACGGGCAGACUUGAGUACUGCAGGGGAGACUGGAAUUCCUGGUGUAGCGGUGAAAUGCGCAGAUAUCAGGAGGAACACCGGUGGCGAAGGCGGGUCUCUGGGCAGUAACUGACGCUGAGAAGCGAAAGCGUGGGUAGCGAACAGGAUUAGAUACCCUGGUAGUCCACGCCGUAACGGUGGGUACUAGGUGUGGGUUUCCUUCCACGGGAUCCGUGCCGUAGCUAACGCAUUAAGUACCCCGCCUGGGGAGUACGGCCGCAAGGCU